ACACAAAUUUAGAACAUCCGUAAAAGAAAAAGAAGAGUCAUGUCAUCUUAUUCUGAAGCUUCUCCCUCUGAAUUUAUUGGUUAAGUAUUUACACCCACUUUUCCUUUAGAGCAUUUAACGAUCGAUUUGCCCUACCCAUCCCUCUCGCUUCUCAUGGUCAGUAGCUUGAUCCCUCAUGCUGCUUGUCUGGGCCUCCGUAUCAACCAUCCACUUCUCGGCUAGACAAUCUUCCCCAACUGUAGUCUCUGAGAUGGAGUCUUUGCCAUCACCUCUUUAGCCACUGCCUCUUCCAGGAGAAGGUUCUAAUGCAUCUCUUGUGUUGAACUGAGCUGGGAAAUGGAGGUUCAAGCUCGCACCAGCAGUACUGUGUGCGAGCCUUGGGUUCUUCUCUGAACAUAGCGUUGCCUCCUAGUAAGGCAAUCUUUUUCGACAGCGAUCUGGUGAACUUCCACAACUUGGGGUUGGGCUCACUGGCUGUCGAGGUUUCAUAACUUAUUUCUUAGGUUUGGAUGAUAUGGGACGAAAAGAGAGCUUUCAUCUUCUCAUCUCUCUGUCUCUCUGCCUCAGGGUUUACUCUAACUUCGACAUGCCUCCUAAUUGGCAGAAGGAGAGAAUGAAAAAAGGGUGGCCAAGUCAUGGAAAAAGGGAGCAAAGGAAACGAUGCAUGACUAACUCAAAAGUUCAGGAAGAAAUUAAGGCAUUGAAUGGGUGUUGGAACAAAG
rnacentral:lncRNA from 1 species